UGUUAGGGGGUUUCCGCCCCUUAGUGCUGCAGCUAACGCAUUAAGCACUCCGCCUGGGGAGUACGGUCGCAAGACUGAAACUCAAAGGAAUUGACGGGGGCCCGCACAAGCGGUGGAGCAUGUGGUUUAAUUCGAAGCAACGCGAAGAACCUUACCAGGUCUUGACAUCCUCUGACAACCCUAGAGAUAGGGCUUUCCCUUCGGGGACAGAGUGACAGGUGGUGCAUGGUUGUCGUCAGCUCGUGCCGAGAC
rnacentral:rRNA from 1 species